GAUGAACGCUGGCGGCGUGCCUAAUACAUGCAAGUCGAGCGAACAGACGAGGAGCUUGCUCCUCUGACGUUAGCGGCGGACGGGUGAGUAACACGUGGAUAACCUACCUAUAAGACUGGGAUAACCUCGGGAAACCGGAGCUAAUACCGGAUAAUAUAUUGAACCGCAUGGUUCAAUAGUGAAAGACGGUUUUGCUGUCACUUAUAGAUGGAUCUGCGCCGCAUUAGCUAGUUGGUAAGGUAACGGCUUACCAAGGCAACGAUGCGUAGCCGACCUGAGAGGGUGAUCGGCCACACUGGAACUGAGACACGGUCCAGACUCCUACGGGAGGCAGCAGUAGGGAAUCUUCCGCAAAGGGCGAAAGCCUGACGGAGCAACGCCGCGUGAGUGAUGAAGGUCUUCGGAUCGUAAAACUCUGUUAUUAGGGAAGAACAAAUGUGUAAGUAACUAUGCACGUCUUGACGGUACCUAAUCAGAAAGCCACGGCUAACUACGUG
rnacentral:rRNA from 1 species